rnacentral:rRNA from 1 species
AUGGUAGGAUAGAGGCCUACCAUGGUGGUAACGGGUAACGGGGUGUUAGGGCACGACACCGGAGAGGGAGCCUGAGAAACGGCUACCACAUCCNAGGAAGGCAGCAGGCGCGCAAAUUACCCAAUCCCGACACGGGGAGGUAGUGACAAUAAAUAACAAUACAGGGUUCUUUGAAUCUUGUAAUUGGAAUGAGUACAAUUUAAAUCUCUUAACGAGGAACAAUUGGAGGGCAAGUCUGGUGCCAGCAGCCGCGGUAAUUCCAGCUCCAAUAGCGUAUAUNAAAGUUGUUGCAGUUAAAAAGCUCGUAGUUGAAUUUCGGGAUCAAUACGUCGGUCGUGCUUUCGGGUACGUACUGGCGUCAUUGGUUUCUCCUUUCUGACGAACCAUGAUGUCAUUAAUUUGGUGUUAUGGGGAGUUAGGACUGUUACUUUGAAAAAAUUAGAGUGUUUAAAGCAGGCAUUAGCUUGAAUACAUUAGCAUGGAAUAAUGAAAUAGGACGUUCGAUCCUAUUUUGUUGGUUUCUAGGAUCAACGUAAUGAUUAAUAGGGAUAGUUGGGGGCAUUAGUAUUCAAUUGUCAGAGGUGAAAUUCUUGGAUUUAUUGAAGACUAACUACUGCGAAAGCAUUUGCCAAGGAUGUUUUCAUUAAUCAAGAACGAAAGUUAGGGGAUCGAAGACGAUCAGAUACCGUCGUAGUCUUAACCAUAAACUAUGCCGACNAGGGAUCGGAUGAUGUUAAUUUUUUAAUGACUCAUUCGGCGCCCUACGGGAAACCAAAGUGUUUGGG